rnacentral:lncRNA from 1 species
CUCCAUGUGUGAGGUUGUUUUCAGUGCCUAGCCUGAUAUUUGUUUGUAACAUGAAUAUAAACCCAGAGACAGAGAUGUUGGGGCUCAAGCUUCAAGCUGAAGCUCAGAAAAGCAAAGCAGCCAGCCACUAGCUCUUACUAAGCCUGAAAUGGCCAUCCUGCCUCCACAAAUUAUCAGACUGCAAUGCAGACCGCACUGCUCUCCACUGAGCCUCAGACUGCAAUUGCUCAGUUCCUGUUUCCUCCUGCCUUAUAUUCCAGCCAUAUCAUCCUAUUUCCAGCUUCCGAGUUCUGGGAUUAAAGAUCUAGGUUGAAAUCCUCAACUCGAUUGAAGUCAGUACUGGAAGCUCUGGUUGGAGUGUCAGUUGAAACGGAGUAAGUUGGAUCCAGUGCAGUCUAGGGGUUAUGGCCCAAUUUUUUUUCCGGAGCAUCCAGGGAUUGCUGUCAGGCGGGUCUUCAUUGGCUGUGUGGGACUCAAACGUCAUCUAAUAUGGAAGAAAAUGCUAAAGAAGAGGAAGAAGAAAAUGUUAAGAAGUAUUUCCUAAUCCAGUGGUAACUCAGAGAAUUCCCUUUUAAAUGAAGUGAAAAAACUAUAUUAAAUCUCAAAUACAUUUAUUCAAGAAUAAAUAUUGUGCUUUGUCUAAACAUUUACUUAAAAUUAUAAUUACAUUUUUA